GGGCGAGUGGUGAAAUUGGUAGACACGCAUGCCUUAGGAGCAUGUGCCGCAAGGUAUGGAGGUUCGAGUCCUCUCUCGCCCA
rnacentral:tRNA from 1 species